rnacentral:lncRNA from 1 species
UCCAUAUUUUAUUGGUUUUUUUAAAGGUAUCAUAAUUUAGACAUAAAGACAAAACUAAGCACAGUGAAAAAAGUCUACUCUGUCCUGUAAAGUUUGAGAUGUUUUUGUUGUUCAAUCUUUAUCACUUGUAUGGAAACACUAAAUCUUGAUAACCUACAACAGAAAUAUUAUCACUUUUAUUUCAAUUCAAUUGUUGCAGUUAUCAUGCAUGUAAUAGAGAAAAUGAUAAAUUAGACCAGAUCUCCACAUUAAUAAUAUCAAA